UGGAGAGUCCCAGAGCAAGGUGCUGCUGAGUUUGGUGUCUGAAGUUCAGUGCUCUCUGCUUCCAAGAUGGCUCCUUCGCCCUGCAUCCUCACGUCAGGAGGGACAGAGCAGGUGUGGCAGAGCCUCUGACCAGGCACUCUGAUUGACCUCCGGCUAACACCACCAGGACACCAUUUCCCAGGUCCCAGAGAGCCGGUGGUGCAAAGUCCCCUGGCUCUACCUAGAAAACUGGAGUCAGUGCUGGUAUGAGCACAUGAUGAAGCCCACGUGAGAGAACCAGGACGAAACGACUCUAUCACAACUUCAGAGGGACUGAAACGAGAGGAUCGUUUCUUCCUAAAUCCGGAAACUGGAAAGCCAGCCAGAAAGGUGGGUGGCAGUGGCACUGUGGGCCACCCCUCCCUGGAUGCAGGGGCCACCAGGUGCAUUGGUGAUGUGACGUCCAACAGGUGUGUGCUCAGAGCUGAGAAAGCGCCAGUGUUCAUGGGGUUCCAUAACGCACCAUCUUUUUGCUUCCUGAGCUCUCUACCAUAAUCCAAACUACAUAAAUGAGCAAUUCCUUUGCAUA